AUUGAACGCUGGCGGCAGGCCUAACACAUGCAAGUCGAACGAGUGGCGGACGGGUGAGUAAUGUCUGGGAAACUGCCCGAUGGAGGGGGAUAACUACUGGAAACGGUAGCUAAUACCGCAUACCAUCGGAUUUGCCCAGAUGGGAUUAGCUAGUAGGUGGGGUAAUGGCUCACCUAGGCGACUAUCCCUAGCUGGUCUGAGCGGAUGACCCGCCAAACUGGAACUGGGACACGGUCCAGACUCCUACGGGAGGCCGCAGUGGAGAAUAUUGCACAAUGGGCGAAAGCCUGAUGCAGCCAUGCCGCGUGUAUGAAGAAGGCCUUCGGGUUGUAAAGUACUUUCAGCGAGGAGGCGUUACUCGCAGAAGAAGCACCGGCUAACUCCGUGCCAGCAGCGGCGGUAAUUC
rnacentral:rRNA from 1 species